CGGCCGAUGGCAGAUUAGCUAGUUGGUGGGGUAAAGGCCUACCAAGGCGACGAUCUGUAGCUGGUCUGAGAGGACGACCAGCCACACUGGGACUGAGACACGGCCCAGACUCCUACGGGAGGCAGCAGUGGGGAAUUUUGGACAAUGGGCGCAAGCCUGAUCCAGCAAUGCCGCGUGUGUGAAGAAGGCCUUCGGGUUGUAAAGCACUUUUGUCCGGAAAGAAAACCGCCGCCCUAAUAUGGUGGUGGGAUGACGGUACCGGAAGAAUAAGCACCGGCUAACUACGUGCCAGCAGCCGCGGUAAUACGUAGGGUGCAAGCGUUAAUCGGAAUUACUGGGCGUAAAGCGUGCGCAGGCGGUCCGCUAAGACAGAUGUGAAAUCCCCGGGCUUAACCUGGGAACUGCAUUUGUGACUGGCGGGCUAGAGUAUGGCAGAGGGGGGUAGAAUUCCACGUGUAGCAGUGAAAUGCGUAGAGAUGUGGAGGAAUACCGAUGGCGAAGGCAG
rnacentral:rRNA from 1 species